rnacentral:rRNA from 1 species
UUACGACCAUAUCACGUUGAAAUACCGGUUCCCGUACGAUCAUUGAAGUUAAGCAACGUCGAGCCUGGUCUGUACCUAGCUGGGUGAUCGCUUGAGAU